UACGGGGGGGGCAAGCGUUGUUCGGAAUUACUGGGCGUAAAGGGUCUGUAGGUGGCCAACUAAGUCAGACGUGAAAUCCCUCAGCUUAACUGGGGAACUGCGUCUGAGACUGGAUGGCUUGAGUGCAGGAGAGGAACGCGGAAUUCCAGGUGUAGCGGUGAAAUGCGUAGAUAUCUGGAGGAACACCGGUGGCGAAGGCGGCGUUCUGGACUGCAACUGACACUGAGAGACGAAAGCCAGGGGAGCAAACGGG
rnacentral:rRNA from 1 species